CCCCCCCCCCCAAUAACAAUUUGGUUCUAACAGCACUGAUGACCUUGGUGAGUUAGUAUUACAAAAGUCACCGAACUGUGGAAUCGCAUCAAAAAUUCGUAUAUCGACCACUCCCACAAACGUCUACGACCACGCCUACAUUCGACUACAUAGUUUUGCAUGUUUACAAUUCUAAUUUUGAACAGCCAAUCAGGUUCUUGGUAAUUGGCUGUUUAAAAUUAGAAUUGUAAACGUGCAAAACUAUGUAGGCGCGGUCGUAGACGUUUGUGGGAGUGGUCGAUAUACGAAUUUUUUAUGCGAUUCCACAGUUCGGUGACUUUCGUAAUAUGCACAGUCACACAUGAGAAUAUGAGUUUCACUAUCAUCAGAUGGUGCAACAACAGGCAGUUCUCAGCAUUAGAAAAUAAUGUUUAUUUUCAUUAUAUGUAAAGUCUUAGUAGUAGUGAAAAAUAAAUAAUAGUGGCUUUUAUUAUAAAUUUUAUGCAGGAUGAAAUAUGUAAAAUUAUAAUUGUGAAAUUAUUUGUCAAAUUACUUGUAUCAAUUGAAGAAAAAUGAAAGUCUUUCAAAUGCUACAGUAACAGUUUUAUAUAAAUAUACAAUUAAAUAAUUAUACUAGUUUUGUACGAUACUGUAUUUUAGAUUUUGUAAUUUGAAAACUUUUGUAUUAAUUUAAAUAUAAAGUAUUAAUAAAAUUUUUAUAUUGACUAGUUAAUUAAUAAGAGGUCAGUUCAAUUAAAGGUUAUUUUCGUG